CCUGGUAGACUACCAGGUUGAUAGGUCGCAGGUCGAAGGCCCGUAAAGGCUGUAGCCGAGCGAUACUAAUAAGCCGUGAGGCUUGACCUUAAAAUUCU
rnacentral:rRNA from 1 species